UAAUGAACCACUUAAUUUAUUUCACCCGAUGAUUUCUGUUUCAUGCUCUAAGAAUUGGCCGUAUACCGUAGUGUACUCUCUCUCUCUCUCUCUCUCUCUCUCUCUAUAUAUAUAUAUAUAUAGAUAGCUCAAAGGCUUCAAGCAAUUUGCCUCCAAAUAAUUCGUCUAUAAUUAGAAUUUGGAGGAUAUGAGAUUGUGACAGUGCAG
rnacentral:lncRNA from 1 species